rnacentral:rRNA from 1 species
UUGAGAGGAUGAUCCGCCCACACUGGGACUGAGGCACGGCCCAGACUCCUACGGGAGGCAGCAGUGGGGAAUUUUGGACAAUGGGCGCAAGCCUGAUCCAGCCAUGCCGCGUGUCUGAAGAAGGCCUUCGGGUUGUAAAGGACUUUUGUCAGGGAAGAAAAGCUUUGGGUUAAUACCCUGGAGUGAAAAAAAAACCUGAAGAAUAAGCACCGGCUAACUACGUGCCAGCAGCCGCGGUAAUACGUAGGGUGCGAGCGUUAAUCGGAAUUACUGGGCGUAAAGCGAGCGCAGACGGUUUGUUAAGCAGGAUGUGAAAUCCCCGGGCUCAACCUGGGAACUGCGUUCUGAACUGGCAGGCUAGAGUAUGUCAGAGGGGGGUAGAAUUCCACGUGUAGCAGUGAAAUGCGUAGAGAUGUGGAGGAAUACCGAUGGCGAAGGCAGCCCCCUGGGAUAAUACUGACGUUCAUGCUCGAAAGCGUGGGUAGCAAACAAGGGUAGAUACCCUGGUAGUCCACGCCCUAAACGAUUCUAAAGGGCUGUUGGGGCACUUGAUGCCUUAGUAGCGUAGCUAACGCGUGAAAUGACCG